UCCUAGUUAACCUAGGCAGUCUCGUUAGAGUUCCCGCCUUCACGCGCUGGCAACUAACGAUAAGGGUUGCGCUCGUUGCUGGACUUAACCAAACACCUCACGGCACGAGCUGACGACAGCCAUGCAGCACCUAUAUAGAUCCCCUUUCGGGAACGUUUAUCUCUAAACGCGCAAUCUACAUUUCGAGCCCAGGUAAGGUUCUUCGCGUUGCGUCGAAUUAAACCACAUGCUCCACUGCUUGUGCGGGCCCCCGUCAAUUCUUUUGAGUUUCACCCUUGCGAGCGUACUCCUCAGGCGGCAUACUUAACGCGUUAGCUCCGAUACAGAAAGGGUUGAGCCCUCCUACAUCUAGUAUGCAUCGUUUACGGCUAGGACUAC
rnacentral:misc_RNA from 1 species